AAGCGCUUGCACCCAGACUUGCACGUCGUUGAUCAUCCGGGGUUCUCCCCGGUGCACGCGGCGACGUUCAGGCCAGCAUCGGUUCUGGUGGCUGGAUAAAGGCCUAGGGAAUGUGGCUCUCUUCGGGGAGUGUUAUAGCCUGUGGUGUAAUACACCUUCUGGGACCGAGGACCGCGCUCUGCAAGGAUGCUGGCGUAAUGGUCAUCAGCGA
rnacentral:rRNA from 1 species